rnacentral:rRNA from 1 species
ACAUACAAGAAAUCUAGACAUUAACCAAAAAUUUAUCUCAAAAAAAAUCAGUUUCUGCUAAGCAGGGUUGGGCCUGGUUAGUACUUAAAUGGGAGACCACCUAGGAAGACCAGGUUCUGUAAGCA